UACGAAGGGUGCUAGCGUUGUUCGGAAUCACUGGGCGUAAAGCGCGCGUAGGCGGCGAUUCAAGUCAGAGGUGAAAGCCCGGGGCUCAACCCCGGAAUUGCCUUUGAAACUGUAUUGCUAGAGUGUCGGAGGGGAUAGCGGAAUUCCUAAUGUAGAGGUGAAAUUCGUAGAUAUUAGGAGGAACACCGGUGGCGAAGGCGGCUAUCUGGACGACAACUGACGCUGAGGCGCGAAAGCGCGGGGAUCAAACAGG
rnacentral:rRNA from 1 species